rnacentral:rRNA from 1 species
UGAGAUGUUCGGGUUAAGUCCCGCAACGAGCGCAACCCUGCCCUUAGUUGCCAGCAUUUGGUUGGGCACUCUAAGGGGACUGCCGGUGAUAAGCCGAGAGAGGUGGGAUGACGUCAAGUCCUCAUGGCCCUUACGGGCUGGGCUACACACGUGCUACAAUGGUGGUGACAGUGGGCAGCGAGACCGCGAGGUCGAGCUAAUCUCCAAAAGCCAUCUCAGUUCGGAUUGCACUCUGCAACUCGAGUGCAUGAAGUUGGAAUCGCUAGUAGUCGCAGAUCAGCAUGCUGCGGUGAAUACGUUCCCGGGCCUU